CUCAGGAUGAACGCUAGCUACAGGCUUAACACAUGCAAGUCGAGGGGCAGCAUUGGAGUAGCAAUACUCAGAUGGCGACCGGCGCACGGGUGAGUAACACGUAUCCAACCUGCCGCUUACUCGGGGAUAGCCUUUCGAAAGAAAGAUUAAUACCCGAUGGUAUAAAGAGUUCGCAUGUUCUCUUUAUUAAAGAAUUUCGGUAAGCGAUGGGGAUGCGUUCCAUUAGAUAGUUGGCGGGGUAACGGCCCACCAAGUCUACGAUGGAUAGGGGUUCUGAGAGGAAGGUCCCCCACAUUGGAACUGAGACACGGUCCAAACUCCUACGGGAGGCAGCAGUGAGGAAUAUUGGUCAAUGGACGAGAGUCUGAACCAGCCAAGUAGCGUGAAGGAUGACUGCCCUAUGGGUUGUAAACUUCUUUUAUAAGGGAAUAAAGUGAGGGACGUGUCCCUUUUUGUAUGUACCUUAUGAAUAAGGAUCGGCUAACUCCGUGCCAGCAGCCGC
rnacentral:rRNA from 1 species